rnacentral:tRNA from 7 species
ACUUGUCUAGCUUAGUUGGUAAAAUAGAAGGCUCUUAACCUUGUGGUUGUGGGUUCGAGCUCCAUGGUGGGCG